rnacentral:rRNA from 1 species
GACGAACGCUGGCGGCGUGCUUAACACAUGCAAGUCGAACGAUGAACCGGAGCUUGCUCUGGGGAUUAGUGGCGACCGGGUGAGUAACACGGGGGCAACCUGCCCCAGACACCGGGAUAACCAUUCGAAAGGAUGGCCAAUACCGGAUACGACCACUUCGGGCAUCCGAUGGUGGGGGAAAGGACUCUGGUCUGGGAUGGGCUCGCGGCCUAUCAGCUUGUUGGUGGGGUAAUGGCCUACCAAGGCGACGACGGGUAGCCGGCCUGAGAGGGCGACCGGCCACACUGGGACUGAGACACGGCCCAGACUCCUACGGGAGGCAGCAGUGGGGAAUAUUGCGCAAUGGGCGAAAGCCUGACGCAGCGACGCCGCGUGAGGGACGAAGGUCUUCGGAUUGUAAACCUCUUUCAGCAGGGAUGAAGCGAAAGUGACAGUACCUGCAGAAGAAGCACCGGCUAACUACGUGCCAGCCGCCGCAGUAA